rnacentral:rRNA from 1 species
GACGAACGCUGGCGGCGUGCCUAAUACAUGCAAGUAGAACGCUGAAGGAGGAGCUUGCUUCUCUGGAUGAGUUGCGAACGGGUGAGUAACGCGUAGGUAACCUGCCUGGUAGCGGGGGAUAACUAUUGGAAACGAUAGCUAAUACCGCAUAAUAGUAGAUGUUGCAUGACAUUUGCUUAAAAGGUGCAAUUGCAUCACUACCAGAUGGACCUGCGUUGUAUUAGCUAGUUGGUGGGGUAACGGCUCACCAAGGCGACGAUACAUAGCCGACCUGAGAGGGUGAUCGGCCACACUGGGACUGAGACACGGCCCAGACUCCUACGGGAGGCAGCAGUAGGGAAUCUUCGGCAAUGGACGGAAGUCUGACCGAGCAACGCCGCGUGAGUGAAGAAGGGUUUCGGAUCGUAAAGCUCUGUUGUAAGAGAAGAACGAGUGUGAGAGUGGAAAGUUCACACUGUGACGGUAUCUGACCAGAAAGGGACGGCUAACUACGUG